rnacentral:rRNA from 1 species
CCGGCACGGGUGAGUAACACGUAUCCAACCUGCCGUCUACUCUUGGACAGCCUUCUGAAAGGAAGAUUAAUACAAGAUGGCAUCAUGAGUUCACAUGUUCACAUGAUUAAAGGUAUUCCGGUAGACGAUGGGGAUGCGUUCUAUUAGAUAGUAGGCGGGGUAACGGCCCACCUAGUCUUCGAUGGAUAGGGGUUCUGAGAGGAAGGUCCCCCACAUUGGAACUGAGACACGGUCCAA